GACGAACGCUGGCGGCGUGCUUAACACAUGCAAGUCGAACGGCAAGGCCCUGCUUUUGUGGGGUUCUCGAGUGGCGAACGGGUGAGUAACACGUGAGUAACCUGCCCUUGACUUUGGGAUAACUUCAGGAAACUGGGGCUACUACCGGAUAGGAGCUCCUGCUGCAUGGUGGGGGUUGGAACGUUGCGGCGGUUGGGGAUGGACUCGCGGCUUAUCAGCUUGUUGGUGGGGUAGUGGCUUACCAAGGCUUUGACGGGUCCCCGGCCUGGGAGGGUGACCGGCGACAUUGGGACUGAGAUACGGACCAGACUGCUACGGGAGGCAGCAGUGGGGAAUAUUGCACAAUGAGCGGAAGCCGGAUGAAGCAACGCUGCGUGCGGGAUGACGGCCUUCGGGUUGUGAACAGCUUUCGCCUGUGACGAAGCGGGAGUGACGGUAAUGGGUAAAGAAGCACCGGCUAACUACGUG
rnacentral:rRNA from 1 species